CCGCUAAAGGCUCAUUAAAUCAGCUAUAAUUUAAUUGAUGGUACAAUCACUUUUACUUGGAUAACUGUGGCAAUUCUAGAGCUAAUACAUGCAAAAUGAAUUCCGACCGCGCGGGCGGGCUCUUUUACAAGCUCGUCUUCGCGGAACGAAUGCUUUUAUUAGAACAAAACCAAUCGGAUCUUUCGUCGGCUCGCGUCACUUUUUUUUCGUUCCUUUCUCUCGUUCGGUGACGUCUUUCGCGCUCUUCCUCCGUUCCUUUCUCCGCGAUCGCUUCGUCGAGAUUGAUUUCUCGCGCGAGCGAAAACGGAGAGUACACGGGGAAGGGAGGGCACACGGGAGCGCGAAAGCAUCCGUUCGAAACAACGGGGAAAGUUGCGAAAAAAGAACGGUGUGCGCGGAAAAAGCUCGAAAGAAAUCCGCAAAAAUAAUUUUGAGGGAUCUGAAUAACUUUACGCUGAUCGCACGGUCACGAACCGGCGACGCAUCUUUCAAAUGUCUGACUUAUCAACUUUCGAUGGUAGGCUACGCGCCUACCAUGGUGAUAACGGGUGACGGGGAAUCAGGGUUCGAUUCCGGAGAGGGAGCCUGAGAAACGGCUACCACAUCCAAGGAAGGCAGCAGGCGCGCAAAUUACCCACUCCCGGCACGGGGAGGUAGUGACGAAAAAUAACGAUGCAGGACUCAUUACGAGGCUCUGCAAUCGGAAUGAGAACACUCUAAAUCAUUUAACGAGUAUCCAUUGCAGG
rnacentral:rRNA from 1 species